GUAACCUGCCCCUGACUCUGGGAUAAGCGUUGGAAACGACGUCUAAUACUGGAUAUGACUACCGGCCGCAUGGUCUGGUGGUGGAAAGAUUUUUUGGUUGGGGAUGGACUCGCGGCCUAUCAGCUUGUUGGUGAGGUAAUGGCUCACCAAGGCGACGACGGGUAGCCGGCCUGAGAGGGUGACCGGCCACACUGGGACUGAGACACGGCCCAGACUCCUACGGGAGGCAGCAGUGGGGAAUAUUGCACAAUGGGCGAAAGCCUGAUGCAGCAACGCCGCGUGAGGGAUGACGGCCUUCGGGUUGUAAACCUCUUUUAGUAGGGAAGAAGCGAAAGUGACGGUACCUGCAGAAAAAGCACCGGCUAACUACGUGCCAGCAGCCGCGGUAAUACGUAGGGUGCAAGCGUUGUCCGGAAUUAUUGGGCGUAAAGAGCUCGUAGGCGGUUUGUCGCGUCUGCUGUGAAAUCCCGAGGCUCAACCUCGGGCUUGCAGUGGGUACGGGCAGACUAGAGUGCGGUAGGGGAGAUUGGAAUUCCUGGUGUAGCGGUGGAAUGCGCAGAUAUCAGGAGGAACACCGAUGGCGAAGGCAGAUCUCUGGGCCGUAACUGACGCUGAGGAGCGAAAGCAUGGGGAGCGAACAGGAUUAGAUACCCUGGUAGUCCAUGCCGUAAACGUUGGGCGCUAGAUGUAGGGACCUUUCCACGGUUUCUGUGUCGUAGCUAACGCAUUAAGCGCCCCGCCUGG
rnacentral:rRNA from 1 species